rnacentral:rRNA from 1 species
CGAGUUUGAUCCUGGCUCAGGAUGAACGCUAGCGGCAGGCUUAAUACAUGCAAGUCAAGGGGGUAGCAAUACAACCGGCGCACGGGUGAGUAACACGUACACAACAUACCAUAUACUGAGGUAUAGCUACGGGAAACUGAAGGUAAUCCCUCAUAGUAUUGUGAAAGGGCAUCUUUUUACAAUUAAAGUUUCGACGGUAUAUGAUUGGUGUGCGUUUGAUUAGCUAGUUGGUAGGGUAACGGCCUACCAAGGCAACGAUCAAUAGCUGGCGUGAGAGCGCGACCAGCCACACUGGAACUGAGACACGGUCCAGACUCCUACGGGAGGCAGCAGUAGGGAAUAUUGGACAAUGGGCGAAAGCCUGAUCCAGCCAUGCCGCGUGAUAGAUGAAGGCCCUCUGGGUUGUAAAUAUCUUUUAUCUGGGAAGAAACACUUCUAUUCUUAGAAGCUUGACGGUACCAGAGGAAUAAGCACCGGCUAACUCCGUG